UAAGACUUGGCUGCAGUCCGGGUGCCAUCUUGGGACUACCGCCGCACCCGCUCCCCAGAACCUAUGAUGUAACAGGGGUCUCGAGAGCGGUAAGAGUGGAGAAGGCACGGCCGGCCGCAGGAGGCCAGGGAACAGGAAGCUGAGCGAGAAGAACCCAGCCACACACAGGAAACAGAGAGAGCAAGCCGGAAGUGGGGCGGAGCCGUAAGACCAUCGAAGGCCACCCCUACACCGCUUUCUCCAGCAAGGCUGCACCACUGUCAUGUUUUCCUCUGGGACAAAAAUCGGCCCAUGAAGAUACAGAGAAGUUUCUUACAGUGACUGUAAGUUCCACAGAGGACGGCGUUGAGUCUGCAGCAAGGAAAGCAGCUGUGACAAGCAGGGGCUCCAGGAGGAACCGGCUACUCUCCUCUGGGCUUCCUACUUCCAAUAGCUGGUGUCUCCAUCCUCAGCUCAGCCCUUGCUUCAGCUAGGAAUACACAAGUGAGUCCAUGUGCAUCCUUGCCCUUGCCGACACCCCGGUGUCAGAGCCGAUCAAUGUGCUGUGAUCACCUUCCUGUGACAUACGCUUUGAAACAUCCGUCAGCACCUGCUCUCUCAACUCCGACUUCCAUCUUGGCCCACACUCGGCUCUUGCAUUAUUUAUCUGGCUAUUUAUUCCUCCCAGAUUCUUCCUGGUACUCCCUGGGUGCAAAUCAGAACUUUUGAAAACAGCCUCAAGUUUCCCAGUCACUAGAGGCCCAUUUACUCUCAUUUACUGGAGUAAGGAUCUCUUCAAUGGUGCCCCAGUGGCUCGGGUAAAUGGAUGCCCCUCUCCAACUGCCUAAUUGCAUCCUGAGCACGACUUGGC